CAAUGGCAAAAAGAAACACGACCAUGAGGAAACACACUGCAUUAUAUUCCAACAUACAUAGUAGUAUUACUUAUACGCGUAUAGUAUUUACAUUGAGCACGCGCCGGUGGCGUUCCCAAAUGGGUGGCCGCGUACCGGGUGCCCCACAAUUGGACUAAUUAGCCCCACCACAAGUGGAUCACUUACUGUAAUGCGAGUCUUCCUAAUUGCCCGAGCAGACUUAAUUCGAUUUUCUGAGCUCAAAUUGUCACCUAAUUUCAAGGGGACAUUUUAUGUCUAUCGUGAAAAUUAGAAAGUAAUGCUAUGGGUCCUCAUUUAUUAGACGCUUGUGUUCUUACGGUGUACAUAAUAUGACUUGGCAUUGUGCAAUUGUAUAUACAAGUACUUUGUAUUCCUUUCCCUUUUUGUUCUGAACUUGGCAACAGAAGCCAGUGCCAAUGACCUACUUCAUUGAAUAAAUACACUAGUUAUAUGUAGUAUGUGCAAUUAGCGGUAACUUACUAAAAAGUAAUUAUACUCUUCCAAAAAUAAAUAAGAAAAUUAACCCCAUCGAAUAUCCAUUCCUAAUAAUCCAAAAUUCACGAGCAAGUAGUGGGCACUGUUAGUGUUGCCCUAAUUGUUGCUAUUAAAUAAACGAAUUUAGAACCCAACACGAAAUGGAAUGUGAAAUUUGUCAGAGCUUUGAAAGCUUUGAAUGGGUAAACAAAGAUCGUGACUGGGCUAAAUCGUGAAUGGUUUCAGCGUUCAAAACGGAUAUAAACACUCGCGAUCACCAAUGGUCAAACAUGAAACUUGGAGAGUAAGGGGAAAGCCAUUUCCAUGGCUGUUUUGGAGGUCAAGGCAGAUUAGCAACGCAGAAAAACAGUAAUAAACUGCACGACAGGUGGACUAGAAAGGUAGACAAUGCAAUCAGCACAGUAUAAAUCAUCACCUGCUGUCCGUCACCAGCGAUAAGAACUCGAAUUAGCCGGCAAUAAAGCGCCUAUUAGUUUGGCCCAAAAAUAUGUAUUGCCAAAGAAAAAGGAGGAAGCAGGCGGAACAACGACAAAAGCUCGCAUCGUGACGUUUUCAAAGGGGUUAUUUUAGUACUGCUGACUAGUCCGCAGUGUGCAAAGUUCGCCCUGAAAGGGGUGACGAGUGCCAAGUGGGGCUGUUUGGUGUUUGGACUGAUUUUACCGGGCCAGAACCACUUCCGUGAAAUGAUAUUCCACUCGAACGAAAUACCUGUUUGUACUUGUACUGGUCAAUUAGUAAGAUGGUAAAAAUAAACAAAAUACGCCAUGAAAACACCCCUCGACUUACUGGGCUUAGUCAUUUUCAUCCCUUACCCUGUACUGCGAUAUUACUUAAGGUUGCACAGGCUUUCCACCGAGUCUGUCUCGACGGUCAUAGGCAUAAAAUCAGAACGAAAACACCCACAAGUUACUUGAAUAGUACCUCUACCAUAUAGUAAUUCCUCAUGGUGCGACCCUUUCCAAAUCUUUUAUCCAUACUUAUCGGAUAUCCUCACGGACGAGCAGCUAACAACUUCAUCAUUUGUACAUUGAACAAGCCGUUCCAGAUGCCCAACAGCAUCACUAGCAACAGCUUCUCUAGCUUUCCAGAUCAGCAAUAAUUAAAAUAGCCCCUCAAUUUCUUACGUCAUGACUUAUGGAUAAGAUCAUAAAAAUAAAAGCAAACUUAAGAAAUAUAUGUGUAUAUUUUUUCAACACCUGGGGAUUGCCAGCCUGUGCCGAAAUUCUAAUCAGUCGGCGACAGCUGACAGACAUGGAAAACUAAAUUGUGCACCGGCGGACAUCCUCUUCACUUAUCAGAGUUUGGAGCACUAGAGGUGCCUACUCCUCCGCAGGCGUAAUCGGGCCACUCGCCUCGUAAUCUCGUCGCCGGAUCGCCAGACAAGAAAUUUUCCAUGCUGCCUUAAAAACACCUCAUGCACCGUCCCGAUCCGAUCCGCCAUCUACCAUUCCAUUCACCUCUUGACCAAGGGAGGACGCGUGGCCGUCUCCCGCUUAUCAGAAAUCGGAAAUCCGAAAAUAUACCAAAAACCGCCACUCUCACCACACGUGCGAGCCAAAAAUGAAAAAAUUAUGAGGAAUGGUAUAACAACUACGGCGAGAACAAGAAGCACCGGCGACUUAUCUUAAUAACAAUAACAUCAGCUGUUGAUUCGCGUGUCGCAUGUAUCGCAUGGAAUAUUUCAGUUUCCCUCCUACACUGUGCAAAAACCUUUUUAAACAGCUAAAAAUAAUUUGUUUGGCAAAAAAUUUAUGAUAAAAUUUAUGAGAAAAUCUCUUUACGUAAAA